rnacentral:rRNA from 1 species
UACGUAGGGGGCGAGCGUUGUCCGGAGUUACUAGGCGUAAAGCGCACGCAGGCGGUCUGCUAAGUUUGGAGUGACAGUUGGUGGCUUAACUGCCAAAGUGCUUCGAAAACUGACAGACUUGAGGGCUUCAGAGGGACACGGAAUUCCGGGUGGAGUGGUGAAAUGCGUAGAGAUCCGGAGGAACACCAAAGGCGAAGGCAGUGUCCUGGGGAGUACCUGACGCUCAGGUGCGAAAGCCAGGGGAGCGAACGGG